rnacentral:rRNA from 1 species
GACGAACGCUGGCGGCGUGCCUAAUACAUGCAAGUCGAACGCUUUUUCUUUCACCGGAGCUUGCUCCACCGAAAGAAAAAGAGUGGCGAACGGGUGAGUAACACGUGGGUAACCUGCCCAUCAGAAGGGGAUAACACUUGGAAACAGGUGCUAAUACCGUAUAACACUAUUUUCCGCAUGGAAGAAAGUUGAAAGGCGCUUUUGCGUCACUGAUGGAUGGACCCGCGGUGCAUUAGCUAGUUGGUGAGGUAACGGCUCACCAAGGCAACGAUGCAUAGCGGACCUGAGAGGGUGAUCGGCCACACGGGGACUGGGACACGGCCCAGACUCCUACGGGAGGCAGCAGUAGGGAAUCUUCGGCAAUGGACGAAAGUCUGACCGAGCAACGCCGCGUGAGUGAAGAAGGUUUUCGGAUCGUAAAACUCUGUUGUUAGAGAAGAACAAGGAUGAGAGUAGAACGUUCAUCCCUUGACGGUAUCUAACCAGAAAGCCACGGCUAACUACGUGCCAGCCGCCGCGGUAA